rnacentral:rRNA from 1 species
GACGAACGCUGGCGGCGUGCCUAAUACAUGCAAGUAGAACGCACAGUUUAUACCGUAGCUUGCUACACCAUAAACUGUGAGUUGCGAACGGGUGAGUAACGCGUAGGUAACCUGCCUGGUAGCGGGGGAUAACUAUUGGAAACGAUAGCUAAUACCUCAUAAUAUUAAUUAUUGCAUGAUAAUUGAUUGAAAGAUGCAAUUGCAUCACUACCAGAUGGACCUGCGUUGUAUUAGCUAGUAGGUGAGGUAACGGCUCACCUAGGCGACGAUACAUAGCCGACCUGAGAGGGUGAUCGGCCACACUGGGACUGAGACACGGCCCAGACUCCUACGGGAGGCAGCAGUAGGGAAUCUUCGGCAAUGGACGAAAGUCUGACCGAGCAACGCCGCGUGAGUGAAGAAGGUUUUCGGAUCGUAAAGCUCUGUUGUAAGAGAAGAACGGGUGUGAGAGUGGAAAGUUCACACUGUGACGGUAUCUUACCAGAAAGGGACGGCUAACUACGUG